UGUUAUUGAUUGUUUGAUUUUUGGUUGCUAGGGUGAGCUCUGCCCGGAUACUGCCAUGACAGUGCUUACUAUAUAUGAUGGUUGGUUCAGUCGGUUGAAGGAGGAAAGGGAUAAUAUUUUAUAAGCUAAGGAAGCACUUGAACUAGCUGAACCAGAUUGUGUGAUAAACAGCUAUCCAACCAGUCUCAUUAUGACUUUGGUCUGAGAGCCCUAUGGUGAGUGCUGGUAAUAUCAAGAGGGACAGGAUACAGCAACAUACAGAUAUAUCCAGGGACAUACAGAUUUUUGCGGAAGUAAUUUUUGAAAAAUCGUGAAAUCUGUAAAAUUUACAGCUCUAAAAAAGCACCCUAUGGAUUAUUGAUAAUGUUUGUGGUGAGAUUAAUAAGAGACAGUGGAUCAUUUUUGA